GUAUUGCCAGAGGCUGGAGCGUGGUGAAAAUGGGAAGAUGCUGGAAAUAGGGAACAAACUUUCAGUGAGAAAAUGCAUACAUCUUGAAGACUGAAUGUACACCAGGGUAACUACAGAGGGGUCUAUAUGUUGUGUACUUGAAAUUUGCUAAGAGGAUUCAUCUCAUGUCCUCUCACCACAAAAGAAAAAUGCUGGUGCAUAUGGCACAAGACCAGUUAUCGAAUCAACUUAGUCUAUUCUCAACUUCCUCGGAGAACUGAAUGGCAAGUUGGAGAAUCACUCCAGAUUUCUUCACAUACCCUAGAAAAAACCUCCUAUGCUCUUUCCUUAUACAGUUGGACUCUGGAGUUCCCAGUGUCCAUCCAAGUACUAAACCCAGACACUUGCAGUAGAAUAUGGAGUGGCCCCCAUCUCCAGCCCUCCUGCAUUCACAGCAUUAUGUACUUAAAGAAGAUUGGGAUUGGAUUACAAUACACAGGAUUUGUUGAUGAUCGGACAUUAAGCAAAUUACUUAAUCUCUUUAAGGUUCAUGUGUAAGGUGGAGAGGCUAGCGCCUACCUAUAGAGCUGUUGUAUUAUAUGAAAGUGCAAAUUGAUCGUCCUCAUUGCUGGCAGAUAGCAAUAUUUUUAUCUCCCUGUAUUUUCUCUUAUCUUGCCUUACUGCAGUAGUGUUAUAAAUGGACAAGUAUGGAUAAUAUACCUUUUUUUAAAAAAGAAAAUAAAGGCAUUACUCCUUGACUUUUUAA